UCCGUUGCCUCUGAUGGGAUCUUUAAGUAGUAGCAUGGGGUGUUUGUGGAUUACAGCGGUAAUCUAGCUCUUCCGAUCCAGUUGAGCUGCCAAAGGAAGACACUGGGCCCUCUUCAAAGAGCAUACCAGUGGUAUCCUUCGGUGCUCCUCCCAAUGACCGGAUGUCGAUCGCUGCAUCGGAGGGAAAGCUCUCUGAGGAAAAUUCGACUGCGCUGCUGCCACACUGGAUGGUGACAAUGCCUGAAUCAGAUCCAGAGAUGACAGCUGUGCUUUCCCAGGCGUCCGAGAAGCUCACCAGGUCAUUGACUGCACCUUUUACUGCCGGAAACUGGCCUGAUGGUUCCUCCUCCUUCACCACCCUUGAUGGUGGUGCAGCGAGGGGGUAUACGGGGGUCCCCUGGUGGAGUGGGUGGUUGUGAUGCUGUUGUGUCCUAAUCCCGCCUCCACCUGGCAGGGCGUGCCGUGCCUCCCCUCCCGGGUCUGUAGGUACUCGUCUGGCCUGUCCGGCAAUGAUUAUAUGGCCUGUGGAGAAGCUGCGCCUUACACGCUAUGGCGUUACCGCAGGUGCACCAGGCCAUGGCACUGAAGGACAUGAACGAGGGUGGUCACGAUCCGGAAGUUCUGAAAGAGCUUCGAACCGCCACUGACUUUGCGGUCCAAGCAACGAAAGGUCACUGCAAGUUCUCUGGGUUGUGUGAUGUCCACACUUGUGGUGCAGGAGCACCAUCUCUGUCUGUCUCUGGUCAAUAUGAGGGACGCUGAUGAAGUUUGGUUCCUUAAUGCCCCUGUGUCCCAGACCGGCCUCUUCAGCAAAGCAGUCGAGAGCUUGGCCCAGCAUCUCUCGGCUGCACAGAUGCGGACUGAGUCGGUUCACCACACCCUGCUGCCUCCAUCUGUCUGCCAGUUGCAGCGCCCCAGCCUGCUCGUCGCCGAGGGCGGCCCCCUGCGUCCACCCCCUCUCCCGCGCUGCAUCCCCAGCAGUCUCCAGUAAGCAGCGCCAUGGAGAUGGGCGUAGGCAGGAC
ensembl:lncRNA